GAUGAGGCUGCGUACACAUGCAGUCGAGCGGUCCCUUCGGGGAUAGCGGCAGACGGGUGAGUAACGCGUGGGAACCUAUCCAUCGGUACGGAAUAGCUCCGGGAAACUGGAAUUAAUACCGUAUGCGCCCUAUGGGGGAAAGAUUUAUCGCCGAUGGCCGGGCCCGCGUUGGAUUAGCUAGUAGGUUGGGUAAUGGCUGACCUAGGCGACGAUCCAUAGCUGGUCUGAGAGGAUGAUCAGCCACACUGGGACUGAGACACGGCCCAGACUCCUACGGGAGGCAGCAGUGGGGAAUAUUGGACAAUGGGGGCAACCCUGAUCCAGCCAUGCCGCGUGAGUGAUGACGGCCUUAGGGUUGUAAAGCUCUUUCAGCAGUGAAGAUAAUGACAUUAUCUGCAGAAGAAGCCCCGGCUAACUUCGUGCCAGCAGCCGCGGUAAUACGAAGGGGGCUAGCGUUGUUCGGAAUCACUGGGCGUAAAGCGCGCGUAGGCGGAUUGAUAAGUUAGGGGUGAAAUCCCGAGGCUCAACCUCGGAACUGCCUUUGAUACUGUCAGUCUUGAGUUCGAGAGAGGUGAGUGGAACUCCGAGUGUAGAGGUGAAAUUCGUAGA
rnacentral:rRNA from 2 species